rnacentral:rRNA from 1 species
UACGGAGGGUGCAAGCGUUAUCCGAUUUAUUGGGUUUAAAGGGUCCGUAGGCGGAUCUGUAAGUCAGUGGUGAAAUCUCACAGCUUAACUGUGAAACUGCCAUUGAUACUGCAGGUCUUGAGUGUUAUUGAAGUAGCUGGAAUAAGUAGUGUAGCGGUGAAAUGCAUAGAUAUUACUUAGAACACCAAUUGCGAAGGCAGGUUACUAAGCAACAACUGACGCUGAUGGACUAAAGCGUGGGGAACGAACAGG